rnacentral:rRNA from 1 species
AGUGAACGCUGGCGGUAGGCCUAACACAUGCAAGCCGAACGGCAGCACAGGAGAGCUUGCUCUCUGGGUGGCGAGUGGCGGACGGGUGAGGAAUACAUCGGAAUCUACUCUGUCGUGGGGGAUAACGUAGGGAAACUUACGCUAAUACCGCAUACGACCUACGGGUGAAAGCAGGGGAUCUUCGGACCUUGCGCGAUUGAAUGAGCCGAUGUCGGAUUAGCUAGUUGGCGGGGUAAAGGCCCACCAAGGCGACGAUCCGUAGCUGGUCUGAGCGGAUGAUCAGCCACACUGGAACUGAGACACGGUCCAGACUCCUACGGGAGGCAGCAGUGGGGAAUAUUGGACUAUGGGCGCAAGCCUGAUCCAGCCAUACCGCGUGGGUGAAGAAGGCCUUCGGGUUGUAAAGCCCUUUUGUUGGGAAAGAAAUCCAGCUGGCUAAUACCCGGUUGGGAUGACGGUACCCAAAGAAUAAGCACCGGCUAACUUCGUGCCAGCCGCCGCCGUAA